CGGGGCUGGGGGCCACGGCCUGCCAGACGCGGCGGGAGGGCGCCGGGAAGCUGGCCCGGGCCGGGGGAGGCGAAGACAGGGCGGGCUGGGAACUGUGAGGCGAGGGACCCCGGCCCAAGCAGUUCAGCUCAUCACACCGCGCUCGGGAACCACCACGGCCUCCAGGUCGCCACCAGAAGAAGCUCCAGUAUCUUUUUGACCCCAUCUCCUCCCCCCAAGUUUAGGCCUUGCACCAACCCUACUUCUCAUUACCCAUCAUGUGUGUCUCUUCACAUGAUUUCUCUCCUGAUUUUCAG
rnacentral:lncRNA from 1 species